UACGGAGGAUGCGAGCGUUAUCCGGAUUUAUUGGGUUUAAAGGGUGCGCAGGCGGGAGAUUAAGUCGGCGGUGAAAUUUUGCAGCUCAACUGUAAAAGUGCCUUCGAAACUGGUUUCCUUGAGUGUAGAUGAAGUAGGCGGAAUUUGUGGUGUAGCGGUGAAAUGCAUAGAUAUCACGAGGAACUCCGAUUGCGCAGGCAGCUUACUAAACUACUACUGACGCUCAGGCACGAAGGCGUGGGGAUCAAACAGGAUUAGAUACCCCUGUA
rnacentral:rRNA from 1 species